rnacentral:lncRNA from 1 species
UGCAUGUCUCUCUAUCUCUCUAUCUCUCUGCUGUUUACGCUACAGGAAAAACCAUCGUCAGAUUAGAGUGGUCUGCCUCAUCUCAACUGCUUCCACAUCACUGCAGAAGUCACUUUUAAGGGAUUUCCUUGAGCCAUCAGAUGCAGGUGCUCUUCAAAGAUCAAAAGAGACCAAAAGCCUGCCGUGAAGAUACAGCGGCUCAAAGGGGGUACGGCUUCGCUCUGCAAUCUAGGGCCUCCUAACAAGGUAUCUGUGUAUCUAAUAUUCAACAUGUGUUUUAAUGUUUCCACUGGAGGUCUUCGUAAAAAUACAUUUUUCCUCAUCAGAACACGAACUUGCGAAAGUGAAAACAGGAGAGGAGCAAAAACAAAGGUCUGACUGUAAAACCCUGAAAACUUCCAGCUCAGCAUUCACUCCUUUAAAUCAAAGUGCCGCCGUUGAGACCAAACAAUUUUUUCUUACAGUGUGA